rnacentral:misc_RNA from 1 species
UUUAUUUGUUAUAAAAAUUUUACAUUCAUAGACUAGUGUUUAUAAAGUGAAAUGGCUCACAAUCCGAAAAUUGCUCGCCAUUAAUACAGAUGCACAGGGUUAGAUGUGAGAAGGUCGGGUUCCAAGUUAAAUUGGACACCCUAUUUAUUCACUAAUGAUCCUUCCGCAGGUUCACCUACGGAAA